CCAUGAAGCUGGAUUCGCUAGUAAUCGCGCAUCAGCCACGGCGCGGUGAAUACGUUCCCGGGCCUUGUACACACCGCCCGUCAAGCCAUGAAAGCCGGGGGUACCUGAAGUGCGUAACCGCGAGGAGCGCCCUAGGGUAAAACUGGUGAUUGGGGCUAAGUCGUAACAAGGUAAC
rnacentral:rRNA from 1 species